AGCUCUCUUAAAUUUCGGGCGCUUAUCGCGGUAACACGUUUUCACAGGUGCGUCUGGCAUUCGUUAACGGGCAUCGCAUCAGUUCAACGCGCAGAGACGAUUGGAAAUAAAUUCCCCGUUUGAAGAAAUGUGUUGAAAAAGAAAUCAUUACGCACUUUAAAAUUUCGGAUCUCGGCGCGCAGUAGAGGACUCAAGAAGCACGAGCACCUUGACGACAAGUAGAAAUUAAAAGUUUGGAGGCAGCAACCGAUUUCAAGAACUUACUAUUUGACUCUGGAAUAGAUGAAUCCAUAUUCACUUAAUAUGGACAACACCGUGGAACUUGUUUCGAAUUUAUAACAACGAAGCAUGAAUGGACUACAAACAAUCACGAUUCUAAUCCGAUGGAAUGAGACGUAAACAGACUCCCUCGACGUGUUAUUAUUUGUAUUGUAUCGAUAAGAACCGUAAAACAAUUUUACUUAUUAACCCACUAAUAUAUAAAAAAAUAUUAGAACAUUGAAAGAGGUUAUUUGGAUUAGCAUACAAUUUUGAAAACGGAUUGUUUUCUCACAGUUUCUUCUCAAAUCUAAUAAUAUUUUUAUAAGAGGAAUGUACUUUUUAAUUAUCUUGCGGCUACAACUUAAAUGUUACUAAUGAUCGUGUAAUUGUAAUUUGAUGUAUACAACAUUAUGUCUAUUCUUCUAUAUUUUUCAGGCAACUGUAUUAAAGC
rnacentral:lncRNA from 13 species